GCUGAAAUGAUAAGAGGCUGUUGGUAAAAUUACAGACUGCGGCCGGCUCUUAAUGGAGUUCAGCGCCGGGUGGAAGGAGGCGCAGUGUCCAACGUGCCAUCAGUGCUGAGUGCUCAGCUCGCGUCUCCCGACCCCAAGUCGGUUCAGCAAGCAGACCUGCAUUUAGCGUCUGAAAGAUGUUGCAGCGUUUUCAUUAGGCUCGGCGCUGAGGCUAACUGGGGCUCAUUAUGGCCUUAGAGAUCCCUUUAAAGACACAACAACAAAGUCUGGCCUCGGCACUCAGGCUUACCUGAGAAGCCCGACGUUAAUGCCGAUGGUGCGUUUGGUCUCU
ensembl:lncRNA